ensembl:snRNA U6 U6 spliceosomal RNA
GUGCUUGCUUCGGCAGCACAUAUACUAAAAUUGGAACAAUAGAAAGAUUAGGAUGGCCCCUGUGCAAAGAGAAUACGCAAAUUUGUGAAGCGUUCCAUAUUUUU